rnacentral:rRNA from 1 species
AGCAGCCGCGGUAAUUCCAGCUCCAAUAGCGUAUAUUAAAGUUGUUGCAGUUAAAAAGCUCGUAGUUGAAUUUCGGGAUCAAUUAAUUGGUCGUGCCUCUGGUACGUACUGAUUUUAUUGGUUUCUCCCUUCUGACGAACCAUGAUGUCAUUAAUUUGGUGUCGUGGAGAAUCAGGACUGUUACUUUGAAAAAUUAGAGUGUUUAAAGCAAGCUAACGCUUGAAUACAUUAGCAUGGAAUAAUGAAAUAGGACGUUUGAUCCUAUUUUGUUGGUUUCUAGGAUCGACGUAAUGAUUAAUAGGGAUAGUUGGGGGCAUUAGUAUUCAAUUGUCAGAGGUGAAAUUCUUGGAUUUAUUGAAGACUAACUACUGCGAAAGCAUUUGCCAAGGAUGUUUU